AUUGAACGCUGGCGGCAGGCCUAACACAUGCAAGUCGAGCGGAUGACGGGAGCUUGCUCCUUGAUUCAGCGGCGGACGGGUGAGUAAUGCCUAGGAAUCUGCCUGGUAGUGGGGGACAACGUUUCGAAAGGAACGCUAAUACCGCAUACGUCCUACGGGAGAAAGCAGGGGACCUUCGGGCCUUGCGCUAUCAGAUGAGCCUAGGUCGGAUUAGCUUGUUGGUGAGGUAAUGGCUCACCAAGGCGACGAUCCGUAACUGGUCUGAGAGGAUGAUCAGUCACACUGGAACUGAGACACGGUCCAGACUCCUACGGGAGGCAGCAGUGGGGAAUAUUGGACAAUGGGCGAAAGCCUGAUCCAGCCAUGCCGCGUGUGUGAAGAAGGUCUUCGGAUUGUAAAGCACUUUAAGUUGGGAGGAAGGGUUGUAGAUUAAUACUCUGCAAUUUUAACGUUACCGACAGAAUAAGCACCGGCUAACUCUGUG
rnacentral:rRNA from 1 species